AGAGCGAACGCUGGCGGCAGGCCUAACACAUGCAAGUCGAACGCCCAGCAAUGGGAGUGGCAGACGGGAUAGUAACACGUGGGAACGCGCCCUUCGGUUCGGAAUAACUCAGGGAAACUUGAGCUAAUACCGGAUACGCCCUUACGGGGAAAGAUUUAUUGCCGAAGGAACGGCCCGCGUCGGAUUAGCUAGUUGGUGAGGUAAUGGCUCACCAAGGCGACGAUCCGUAGCUGGUCUGAGAGGAUGACCAGCAUCACUGGGACUGAGACACGGCCCAGACUCCUACGGGAGGCAGCAGUGGGGAAUAUUGGACAAUGGGCGCAAGCCUGAUCCAGCCAUGCCGCGUGGAUGAUGAAGGCCCUAGGGUUGUAAAGUCCUUUUAACGGGGAAGAUAAUGACGGUACCGUAGAAUAAGCCCGGCUAACUUCGCGCCAGCAGCCGC
rnacentral:rRNA from 1 species